rnacentral:rRNA from 1 species
AUUGAACGCUGGCGGCAGGCCUAACACAUGCAAGUCGAGCGGUAGCACAGAGAGCUUGCUCUCGGGUGACGAGCGGCGGACGGGUGAGUAAUGUCUGGGAAACUGCCUGAUGGAGGGGGAUAACUACUGGAAACGGUAGCUGAUACCGCAUAACGUCGCAAGACCAAAGUGGGGGACCUUCGGGCCUCAUGCCAUCAGAUGUGCCCAGAUGGGAUUAGCUAGUAGGUGGGGUAAUGGCUCACCUAGGCGACGAUCCCUAGCUGGUCUGAGAGGAUGACCAGCCACACUGGAACUGAGACACGGUCCAGACUCCUACGGGAGGCAGCAGUGGGGAAUAUUGCACAAUGGGCGCAAGCCUGAUGCAGCCAUGCCGCGUGUGUGAAGAAGGCCUUCGGGUUGUAAAGCACUUUCAGCGGGGAGGAAGGCGUUAAGGUUAAUAACCUUGGCGAUUGACGUUACCCGCAGAAGAAGCACCGGCUAACUCCGUGCCAGCAGCCGCGGUAAUACGGAGGGUGCAAGCGUUAAUCGGAAUUACUGGGCGUAAAGCGCACGCAGGCGGUCUGUCAAGUCGGAUGUGAAAUCCCCGGGCUCAACCUGGGAACUGCAUUCGAAACUGGCAGGCUAGAGUCUUGUAGAGGGGGGUAGAAUUCCAGGUGUAGCGGUGAAAUGCGUAGAGAUCUGGAGGAAUACCGGUGGCGAAGGCGGCCCCCUGGACAAAGACUGACGCUCAGGUGCGAAAGCGUGGGGAGCAAACAGGAUUAGAUACCCUGGUAGUCCACGCCGUAAACGAUGUCGAUUUGGAGGUUGUGCCCUUGAGGCGUGGCUUCCGGAGCUAACGCGUUAAAUCGACCGCCUGGGGAGUACGGCCGCAAGGUUAAAACUCAAAUGAAUUGACGGGGGCCCGCACAAGCGGUGGAGCAUGUGGUUUAAUUCGAUGCAACGCGAAGAACCUUACCUGGUCUUGACAUCCACAGAACUUUCCAGAGAUGGAUUGGUGCCUUCGGGAACUGUGAGACAGGUGCUGCAUGGCUGUCGUCAGCUCGUGUUGUGAAAUGUUGGGUUAAGUCCCGCAACGAGCGCAACCCUUAUCCUUUGUUGCCAGCGGUUAGGCCGGGAACUCAAAGGAGACUGCCAGUGAUAAACUGGAGGAAGGUGGGGAUGACGUCAAGUCAUCAUGGCCCUUACGACCAGGGCUACACACGUGCUACAAUGGCAUAUACAAAGAGAAGCGACCUCGCGAGAGCAAGCGGACCUCAUAAAGUAUGUCGCAGUCCGGAUUGGAGUCUGCAACUCGACUCCAUGAAGUCGGAAUCGCUAGUAAUCGUAGAUCAGAAUGCUACGGUGAAUACGUUCCCGGGCCU